rnacentral:rRNA from 1 species
CAGCGCCACAAGUGGGAACCACGUUUAUUGGGCCUAAAGCAUCCGUAGCCGGCGCUGUAAGUUUUCGGUUAAAUCUGUACGCUCAACGUACAGGCUGCCGGGAAUACUGCAGCGCUAGGGAGUGGGAGAGGUAGACGGUACUCGGUAGGAAGGGGUAAAAUCCUUUGAUCUAUUGAUGACCACCUGUGGCGAAGGCGGUCUACCAGAACACGUCCGACGGUGAGGGAUGAAAGCUGGGGGAGCAAAACGGAUUAGAUACCCGAGUAGUCC